AAUAAUAAUAAUAAUAAUAAUAAAUAAACAUUUCAAUGACAGUAAUGUCAGAGGCUAUAGCUAAUCAAAGCCGGGCAAUGCUAAGCUAAGCUAAUGCUACGUCCAAUCUGAGAGGAUCAUCACAGGAAGUCCAGAAGUUGACUUGUUUGGGUUCACGUCCGUUACGGAGGCUACUUCUGAACUUCUUUUGGAUAAAAUGACGGACUGGAAGACCGUGAACCAUCGCAGCGAAGCAAAUACGACUCUAUGAUCUCUGCCGUGACACAUCUAAGGAAGACGGAAGACCACAGUCGACACAAUUUAAGGCGCCUCAUCCUGACAGCGGAAGCCUUUAGAAGUCAGAGAAGGCCCGAGGCUGGAGAUGGCAUAUCAGCACAUCUGUCUGCUCCACAGCCAGGUUGUGAAGUGAUGCACUGACUGUCGGUGCUUCUGCGAGUGUUCUGUCACCGACUGACUGGAUCUGACUGAAGCUCAGUGUCAGCGAUCGGCUCAGGGACAACGUAAUCCGCGACUUACAGAGGAAGAUGGUGGCAGCAACUAAAGAAGACGAGCGACUCAGACGUCUCCCAGGGUGUCUUUCUUCAAGUCCUGUUGGUAUAUCAGCGAGGUGUUCAACUAAACAAUGUGAGUAAACUGGAAAUAAAAGAUCAUUAAACUGAGUUAUAUAUACUGUACAUAAAAUAUGUGUGAUGGCUCAAGGGAUCUGUCAACGAAUACAUUUUAAUAUUUUAAGCAUUUAAUGUCACUUUUCAAAAAUACCCCAGGCUUUUUUUUUCACUGGCAGGAACAGAGAAAAAAAAAG